AGUGAACGCUGGCGGUAGGCCUAACACAUGCAAGUCGAACGGCAGCACAGUAAGAGCUUGCUCUUACGGGUGGCGAGUGGCGGACGGGUGAGGAAUACAUCGGAAUCUACUUUUUCGUGGGGGAUAACGUAGGGAAACUUACGCUAAUACCGCAUACGACCUACGGGUGAAAGCAGGGGAUCUUCGGACCUUGCGCGAUUGAAUGAGCCGAUGUCGGAUUAGCUAGUUGGCGGGGUAAAGGCCCACCAAGGCGACGAUCCGUAGCUGGUCUGAGAGGAUGAUCAGCCACACUGGAACUGAGACACGGUCCAGACUCCUACGGGAGGCAGCAGUGGGGAAUAUUGGACAAUGGGCGCAAGCCUGAUCCAGCCAUACCGCGUGGGUGAAGAAGGCCUUCGGGUUGUAAAGCCCUUUUGUUGGGAAAGAAAAGCAGCAGGUUAAUACCCCGCUGUUCUGACGGUACCCAAAGAACAAGCACCGGCUAACUUCGU
rnacentral:rRNA from 1 species